rnacentral:rRNA from 1 species
CAAUAGCGUAUAUUAAAGUUGUUGCAGUUAAAAAAGCUCGUAGUUGGAUUUCUGGGAGGGUGCCAAUGUCCGUCGUCGUACGUGUUGCAGCGGCGCCCUUCCAUCCUUCUGUUAACGACUUUGGGCAUUCACUUGCCGGAGUCGGGCUCAGAUAUUUUUACCUUGAGAAAAUUAGAGUGUUUCAAGCAGGCAUACGCCUUGAAUACAUUAGCAUGGAAUAAUAAGAUAGGACCUCGGUUCUAUUUUUGUUGGUUUCUAGAGCUGAGGUAAUGAUUAAUAGGGAUAGUUGGGGGCAUUCGUAUUUAACUGUCAGAGGUGAAAUUCUUGGAUUUUGUUAAAGACGGACUACUGCGAAAGCAUUUGCCAAGGAUGUUUUCAUUGAUCAAGAACGAAAGUU